GGGUCCUAAAUUGCUUCAGGCUUCUUACUUUCCUACAUAAGAAUUUUUAAAAUCUGAAUUUUCACUUUAUAUUUCUAUUCUAGUGUAGGAAAAAUGAUGAUGGAGACACAGUUCUUGUUGUGGAAAAGGACCAUUUUAUGGACGAUUUCUUCCAUCAGGUGGAAGAAAUUAGACACAACAUCUCCAAAAUAGCUCAAUAUGUGGAAGAGGUAAAGAAGAACCACAGCAUCAUUCUUUCUGCCCCAAACCCGGAAGGAAAAAUAAAAGAAGAGCUUGAGGACCUGAACAAAGAAAUCAAGAAAACUGCUAACAAAAUACGGGCCAAGUUAAAGGCUAUUGAACAAAGUUUUGCUCAGGAUGAGAAUGGGAACCGCACUUCAGUGGAUCUUCGGAUACGAAGGACCCAGCAUUCAGUGCUGUCUCGAAAGUUCGUGGAAGUCAUGACGGGAUACAAUGAAGCACAGACGCUCUUUCGGGAGCGAAGCAAAGGGCGCAUUCAGCGCCAGCUAGAAAUAACUGGAAGAACCACCACGGAUGAGGAGCUGGAGGAGAUGCUGGAAAGCGGGAAGCCCUCCAUCUUCACCUCAGAUAUUAUAUCAGAUUCACAGAUUACUAGACAAGCUCUCAACGAGAUUGAGUCACGUCACAAAGACAUCAUGAAGCUGGAGACCAGCAUCCGAGAGCUGCAUGAGAUGUUUAUGGAUAUGGCCAUGUUUGUUGAGACCCAGGGUGAAAUGAUCAACAACAUCGAGAAAAAUGUUAUGAAUGCCACAGAUUAUGUAGAACAUGCUAAAGAAGAAACUAAAAAGGCUAUUAAAUAUCACAGCAAAGCAAGAAGGCAACAACAUUGUCAUAGCAACCACGUCCCAAAGAGCCAUUUGUCCCUGGAGACCCAGACCUCAUCUGCAGCAGUCAGCGUCCCGUCGCUUCAGGAGUGGACGUGGACGCUGCGGCUCCAUGUUGCAUUCACUAACGAGCUCUGUUGGUGAGUGGCAGGGCGGAGGCCUCGCUGCCAGUCCACCCCGCAGAUGCCCAGUGGAUAUGACGCACUGCCGUGGCCCGAGGCUUGGCACAGACUUAACCCUCUCCCCUUGGUCCUCAGUUCCCAGCUGCCUCCUGCCGUGUCUUCUCCGGUGGCGCCCAGGCACCUGACGGCGCCCUGGCAGUGCUUUCUGACGGGCAGUUAGCACCUCGUGUCUGGAGAUGGAAGUCAGCUGUCAGUGCCUUCCAUGCCUUCUGAAACUCUAUCGACAAAUGUGUUUACACACUCACGCGCCAGCUCUUUCGGUCGUUUCUUCAAAUAUUUUGUGUUUGUAUUAAAGAUUUCAGAGAA